AUUGAACGCUGGCGGCAGGCCUAACACAUGCAAGUCGAACGGUAACAGGAAGAAGCUUGCUUCUUUGCUGACGAGAGGCGGACGGGUGAGUAAUGUACGUGAAACUGCCUGAUGGAGUGGGGUAACUACUGGAAACGGUAGCUCAUACCGCAUAACGUCGCAAGACCAAAGAGGGGGACCUUCGGGCCCCUUGCCAUCGGAUGUGCCCAGAUGGGGUUAGCUAGAAGGUGGGGGAACGGCGCACCCAGGCGACGAUCCCUAGCUGGUCUGAGAGGGUGAGUCGCCACACCGGAACUGAGAACCGGUCCAGACUCCUACGGGAGGGAGCAGUGGGGAAUAUUGGACAAUGGGCGGAAGCCUUAUGCAGCCAUGCCGCCUUGAUGAAGAAGGCCUUCGGGUUGUAAAGGACUUUCAGCUGGGAGGAAGGGACUAAAGUUAAUACCCUCGCUCAUUGACGUUACCCGAAGAAGAAGCCCCGGCUAACUCCGUG
rnacentral:rRNA from 1 species